AUUACAUGAAAGAAACUUAUUUGUGGGAACUUGUUCUUGGCACCACUAUUUUCCUUUAGUGCCUGCACAAAAUUGUGGAAUCCACAUAAAUGUGGGCCUCACUUUUUUGAGAGAGUCAACAAGAGGGUGAGGAUUUCACAUAGUGAUAGUGAAGAGCUCAAAAUGAUGCAUGGAGUUUGAGAAACAAUAACUGAGAUUCAGGAGCUGAAAAUUUACAACAGGUUUAGCCAUGGAAUUUUACCAUGACCAGGGCCUUCCAUAAGGAUAAUUGUCUAUUUGGUAUUCACACCGAUUUUGGAUGCAUUUGCCCACCAGUAAAAAAUUUAUAAAA
rnacentral:misc_RNA from 1 species